AGAAUGAACGCUGGCGGCGUGCCUAACACAUGCAAGUCGAACGAGAAAGUGGAGCAAUCCAUGAGUAAAGUGGCGCACGGGUGAGUAACACGUGACUAACCUACCCUUGAGUGGGGGAUAAACCUAGGGAAACCUGGGCUAAUACCGCAUAAUACCUUCGGGUCAAAGGAGCAAUUCGCUUAAGGAGGGGGUCGCGGCCGAGUUAGUUAGUUGGCGGGGUAAUGGCCCACCAAGACUGUGAUCGGUA
rnacentral:rRNA from 1 species